GCCUGAUCGCCGCCUUGAGCCCCGGGCUGCGCCGCUACUGGCUGCGGUAUUCUGGGUAUUGGAAAGCCACACAAUCUUGAAAUGUGACCCAGGAAAGCCAGAAGAUUUGCUGACAUGGAAAAACAAACUGACCUUGGAGUCCUAAAAUAUUAACACGAAUAGUGAGCAUUUGAAGAGGCUGGCAGGACAUGCAGGGCACAAAGCAUUCAGGAUACUGAAAAAAGCAUGUCAGAUUCCAGAGGAAGCUGCCCUUAACACAGGAGCAAGGGUGAGUACCCUGUCCCUUCAUAGGAAGGAAGAGUGUGGCUGUGUGUACGGAUCCAGGGUAAUUUAUCAGCCAGAAAGCCUGAAGGAUCCCUCCUGGUCUGCCCACCCACACACCCUGCAUUCU
rnacentral:lncRNA from 1 species